rnacentral:rRNA from 1 species
ACUAAAAGCGCGGUAUUAUGACCGUGCAAAGGUAGCAUAAUCAUUAGUUUUUUAAUUGAGGGCUAAAAUGAAUGGUUGGACAAGAGAUAGGCUGUCUUAGAUUAAGAUAUUGAAUUUAACUUUUGAGUGAAAAGGCUUAAAUAAUCUGAAGGGACGAUAAGACCCUAUAAAACUUUAUAUUGAGAGGUGAGAGGUAAUUUUGUUUAAAAGUUAUUGCUUUAAAGUAUUUGGUUGGGGCGACAAGGAUACAAGGUAAAGUAACUGUUUUUUUUUUCUACAAUAAUGUUUGAGUGAAUGAUCCUAAGAUGGAUUAAAAGAUUAAGUUACUUUAGGGAUAACAGCGUAAUUUUCUUUAAGAGUUCUUAUCGACAAGAAAGUUUGCGACCUCGAUGUUGAAUUAAAAUUCUUUAUGGAGUAGAGACUAUAAGAGAAGUCUGUUCGACCUUUAAAA